rnacentral:rRNA from 1 species
GACGAACGCUGGCGGCGUGCUUAACACAUGCAAGUCGAACGGAAAGGCCCUGCUUUUGUGGGGUGCUCGAGUGGCGAACGGGUGAGUAACACGUGAGUAACCUGCCCUUGACUUUGGGAUAACUUCAGGAAACUGGGGCUAAUACCGGAUAGGAGCUCCUGCUGCAUGGUGGGGGUUGGAAAGUUUCGGCGGUUGGGGAUGGACUCGCGGCUUAUCAGCUUGUUGGUGGGGUAGUGGCUUACCAAGGCUUUGACGGGUAGCCGGCCUGAGAGGGUGACCGGCCACAUUGGGACUGAGAUACGGCCCAGACUCCUACGGGAGGCAGCAGUGGGGAAUAUUGCACAAUGGGCGGAAGCCUGAUGCAGCAACGCCGCGUGCGGGAUGACGGCCUUCGGGUUGUAAACCGCUUUCGCCUGUGACGAAGCGUGAGUGACGGUAAUGGGUAAAGAAGCACCGGCUAACUACGUGCCAGCAGCCGCGGUGAUACGUAGGGUGCGAGCGUUGUCCGGAUUUAUUGGGCGUAAAGGGCUCGUAGGUGGUUGAUCGCGUCGGAAGUGUAAUCUUGGGGCUUAACCCUGAGCGUGCUUUCGAUACGGGUUGACUUGAGGAAGGUAGGGGAGAAUGGAAUUCCUGGUGGAGCGGUGGAAUGCGCAGAUAUCAGGAGGAACACCAGUGGCGAAGGCGGUUCUCUGGGCCUUUCCUGACGCCGAGGAGCGAAAGCGUGGGGAGCGAACAGGCUUAGAUACCCUGGUAGUCCACGCUGUAAACGGUGGGUACUAGGUGUGGGGUCCAUUCCACGGGUUCCGUGCCGUAGCUAACGCUUUAAGUACCCCGCCUGGGGAGUACGGCCGCAAGGCUAAAACUCAAAGGAGUUGACGGGGCCCCGCACAAGCGGCGGAGCAUGCGGAUUAAUUCGAUGCAACGCGUAGAACCUUACCUGGGUUUGACAUGGAUCGGGAGUGCUCAGAGAUGGGUGUGCCUCUUUUGGGGUCGGUUCACAGGUGGUGCAUGGCUGUCGUCAGCUCGUGUCGUGAGAUGUUGGGUUAAGUCCCGCAACGAGCGCAACCCUUGUUCACUGUUGCCAGCACGUUAUGGUGGGGACUCAGUGGAGACCGCCGGGGUCAACUCGGAGGAAGGUGGGGAUGACGUCAAGUCAUCAUGCCCCUUAUGUCCAGGGCUUCACGCAUGCUACAAUGGCUGGUACAGAGAGUGGCGAGCCUGCGAGGGUGAGCGAAUCUCGGAAAGCCGGUCUCAGUUCGGAUUGGGGUCUGCAACUCGACCUCAUGAAGUCGGAGUCGCUAGUAAUCGCAGAUCAGCAACGCUGCGGUGAAUACGUUCCCGGGGCU